AGUGAACGCUGGCGGUAGGCCUAACACAUGCAAGUCGAACGGCAGCACAGUAAGGGCUUGCUCUUACGGGUGGCGAGUGGCGGACGGGUGAGGAAUACAUCGGAAUCUACUUUUUCGUGGGGGAUAACGUAGGGAAACUUACGCUAAUACCGCAUACGACCUACGGGUGAAAGCAGGGGAUCUUCGGACCUUGCGCGAUUGAAUGAGCCGAUGUCGGAUUAGCUAGUUGGCGGGGUAAAGGCCCACCAAGGCGACGAUCCGUAGCUGGUCUGAGAGGAUGAUCAGCCACACUGGAACUGAGACACGGUCCAGACUCCUACGGGAGGCAGCAGUGGGGAAUAUUGGACAAUGGGCGCAAGCCUGAUCCAGCCAUACCGCGUGGGUGAAGAAGGCCUACGGGUUGUAAAGCCCUUUUGUUGGGAAAGAAAAGCAGCAGGUUAAUACCCCGCUGUUCUGACGGUACCCAAAGAAUAAGCACCGGCUAACUUCGUG
rnacentral:rRNA from 1 species